CACAGUUAUCAAACAACAACAUAUAAGGCUUGUCAAUUUAUUACUUAUUAUUAAAAUUAUGGCUUUUGAUAAUACAAAGGAAAAUACUAAAGAAUAUAAUAACUUUUUAGCAGCUUAUCAAGAAUUAAAGUUUUCUAAAUUAGAUGAAGAUCCAUUUAAAGUUCUGAACGUUGAACGUCGUUGUCUUGGUGUGAAAUAUUUAGCAGCAAAAAGAUCAGGCUUUGAGGAUGUAGCGAUGUGUCUGCUAGAAAAAGGUCUAAAAGAAUUUCAACAUCAAAUAGAAAAGAACGGGGAUUAUUGGAAUUCGAUUGAAGAAAACAUUGUUGAAACUGUUAAUGAUCCUUCACAAUGGAAAUCAGGAUUAAACGAUGUACAAACAGCAAUUGAUUUCGUAGAAUGUUUACCAUGUCAAGAUGAAAAUACUGCAGCAUGUAAAGAAAAGAUAAUUAAUGAUGGUCAUAUUAAAAAUAUUGUUGAUAUGUGGAAGACACAAGAUACAAGAAAAAGAAAAUGUAAUAUACAAAGACGCCCUCAAUUUGAAAUAAUUAAAGCAAAUGAUAAUAAAAUUUCUCAUGCUAAUAAAAGUUCGACAAGUAACCAAAUCAAACUCAUAGAAUCUAAUAAAAAGGAAUUACCAAGCUUAAGAAACGGGGUUUCUUUAUUCAAAACUGCCAGGGAUGAAUUAAAUAUUCAACAAAAUUCAAAGAAUAGGCCAGCACAAAAGAAGACAUUAGGUGGUAAACCUUCAGUUAAAUCUCCAUUUGUAUGUCCUUUAAAACGUGAGGAAGAUAAAGUAAUGCAGUAUCAAAAUAGUAAAAUAGAAAAUGAAGGUGAUUCAGCGGAUGUAGAAGAUGAAAGGUUGAAAAACAUUGAUCCGAAGUUGAUAGAGUUAAUAAAAAAUGAAAUCAUGGACUUACGAACAUCAGUUUCUUGGGAUGACAUAGCAGGACUUGAAUAUGCUAAGAAAAUUAUUCAAGAAGUCAUUGUAUUUCCUAUGUUGAGGCCUGACAUUUUCACCGGUCUACGUAGGCCACCAAGAGGAAUUUUAUUAUUUGGUCCUCCUGGUACAGGAAAAACAUUAAUUGGAAGAUGUAUCGCAGUGCAGAGUAAAUCAACAUUUUUUUCUAUAUCAGCAAGCUCCUUGACUUCGAAGUGGAUAGGCGAAGGAGAAAAAAUGGUUAGAGCAUUAUUUGCUGUUGCGAGAGUCAAUCAACCUUCAGUUGUUUUUAUAGAUGAAAUAGAUUCUUUGCUUUCUCAAAGAUCGGAGACCGAGCAUGAAAGUUCGAGAAGACUUAAAACUGAAUUUUUAGUACAACUGGACGGGGCAGCAACUUCAGAAGAUGAUCGCAUUUUAAUUGUAGGUGCAACAAAUAGACCACAAGAAUUAGAUGAAGCAGCACGUCGUCGUCUUGUUAAAAGGCUCUAUAUUCCAUUACCGGAAUUGCAAGCACGAAAACAAAUUAUACGCAAUCUAUUAUCAUCGGUAAAACACAAUGUUACAGAACAAGAUAUUACUGAUAUUGCUCAACAAGCAGAAGGUUAUUCAGGUGCUGAUAUGAAAACUUUAUGUACGGAAGCUAGUAUGGGACCAAUCAGAUGUAUUCCGUAUAAUGUGUUACAAGAAAUACCAUCCGAUGAGAUAACACCAGUAACACUUCAGGAUUUUAAAGAAGCUCUACAAAAUACAAAGCAGUAGACUCUCCGCAUGUUUAGAAGAAUAAGAAAAUGGUCUUUCGUCUACUUCGUAAAAAGUUUGUCUCUUAUUUUCGAACACGAGUCCGAACGUAGAUCAGAGUUGCAGAGAAGAAGAAGAAGAAGAAGAAGAAGAGAGUACAGAGGUAAAAAUGAUUUCUUCGACGUACCAGAGAUUUACGGUAUGUCACGCGAAAGGUCUUCGGUCAAAUUGUUUCACAUUGAUUUUCAGGUCGAAGAUGAGAGAAAGAGAAAGAAAGAAAGACAGAAAGAAAGAAAGAAAGACAGAAAGAGAAAGAAAGAGAGAGAGAGAGGCGUCUGUACCGCUUCGUCUGCCCACACGCGACGUCUCUGAGAAGGCAUUGUGGUUUCCAGGCACUUAUUUAUGUGCAGCUCGACGUUUCCGCCCCUUCCGCCUGUAGUUUAGGGCCGUUGACUUGAACGAAAGCGUCCAAGUGGAAGGAAAGCAUCGCACCAUCCUCGUCGUCGUCGUCUUCGUCGUCUUCGAAGUCGAUGUUUCCCGUUGUCACUUUGUCGCAACACCGACGACGACCUUUUCUUUCAUCGUCUCUCGCGACAGGUGUAAUUACACGUACGAGACGAGACGAGACGAGACGAGACGAGACGACUAACUCUCACUUCUAUGUCUUCUAAUGGAAAUUCAUUUUUCGUCCUUCGAAAACGUCCAGCGCAAAUGAAUCGGAGAAUGAAAUAAAUCGCUACAACGUUCGACCACUUUCUCGGAGAAUGAUUAUAUCGUCGUGUUAAUAACUGUAGAGUCGUGUUUACGUUUGUCUAACUGGUAAAUGAAAAGCAUUUACAAAAAGGGAAGUAUUGAAUUGGAAGAAAAAGCAACUGAGUUCUUCGUAUCAUCGCUUUUUCUUUUUCUUAUAAUCGAUACAAUAUUUUUUAACAACGCGAGAUAUAUGUAUUAUACAUUGUUUGUUCGUUAGAUUAUUAUAAAAGAUUUUUAAUCGAGAUAUAACGGGGAAUCGUACGAGUUUGAUAUCGGAUAAAUAAAAAAAGGAAAAAGGAAACAAAGGAAAAA
rnacentral:misc_RNA from 1 species